rnacentral:rRNA from 1 species
GAUGAACGCUGGCGGCGUGCCUAAUACAUGCAAGUCGAGCGAACAGAUAAGGAGCUUGCUCCUUUGACGUUAGCGGCGGACGGGUGAGUAACACGUGGGUAACCUACCUAUAAGACUGGGAUAACUUCGGGAAACCGGAGCUAAUACCGGAUAAUAUUUCGAACCGCAUGGUUCGAUAGUGAAAGAUGGUUUUGCUAUCACUUAUAGAUGGACCCGCUCCGGAUUAGCUAGUUGGUAAGGUAACGGCUUACCAAGGCGACGAUACGUAGCCGACCUGAGAGGGUGAUCGGCCACACUGGAACUGAGACACGGUCCAGACUCCUACGGGAGGCAGCAGUAGGGAAUCUUCCGCAAUGGGCGAAAGCCUGACGGAGCAACGCCGCGUGAGUGAUGAAGGUCUUCGGAUCGUAAAACUCUGUUAUUAGGGAAGAACAUACGUGUAAGUAACUGUGCACGUCUUGACGGUACCUAAUCAGAAAGCCACGGCUAACUACGUG